rnacentral:rRNA from 1 species
CUAUUAAGUAUCGACAUUACGGUAAAUUUAAAGAGUUACGUAACGAAGACUUGUCAACAGUUAUUAGUACGGAAAAACGAAAGAAAAACGAUCGUAGUACAGCUAUACCGUGACACUUUUAACUUCUAAACCAUACCUCAGCGUUUUUGACGUUAUGAGAGCCAUUACGUCUUUUUUGUUUCUAAAGUACCAGAAGUUGGAAAUAAGUUUUCUAUGUACCUACUAAUAUACCCACACACCGUUCAUAUGACGUUACUACUACUACAAAGCCAAGUAGUACUACUACUACCUACGAAAGUCAAAUCAAUUCAACAUCCUUAAAACAAGGACAACCUACUACAAAGAGCCAAUUCCAAAUCAAUUCAACAUCUCUGUUGAACAAGUGUUCCUCACACGAAGGAAGAUGUCUCUGUCGACCAUGUGUACCUCCAACGUAGUUACCAUUGCGACCAAAGUGUUUUUGUUCUAACGAUCCUAUACGACGAAUAGUAAUGCCAACCCAAGCAAUGAGCACCACCGUUUUUUCUACCGUGGAUGGAACAUAGAACAACCGGUUCCCAUCCUUCCCUGUGAAACGUCUACCUUCCCCCACAACAUCCCGUCAAUGAGAUUUCCUUACUUACCUUUUUCCGUCUCCACAAAUAGUAGCUUUUGAUUUGAACGUACAUGGGUAGAAUACACUUAUUCGUACAUUGGUCGAAUAUAGCUAUAAAAGUAACAUUACCUCUGUAUUCUGUGUUCACUGUACAAUUUGAGUUUAUU